rnacentral:rRNA from 1 species
UAGGGAAUAUUGCGCAAUGGGGGAAACCCUGACGCAGCGACGCCGCGUGAGUGAUGAAGGACUUCGGUUCGUAAAGCUCUGUCGCAGGGGAAUAAAACCGAAUGUACCCUGUAAGAAAGGAUCGGCUAACUUCGUGCCAGCAGCCGCGGUAAGACGAGGGAUCCAAGCGUUGUUCGGAAUCAUUGGGCGUAAAGAGGGUCUAGGUUGUUUGAUAAGUCAGAUGUGAAAGCCCUGGGCUUAACCCAGGAAGUGCAUUUGAUACUGUUGAACUUGAGUGUGGGAGAGGCUAGUAGAAUUCCAGGUGUAGUGGUGAAAUACGUAGAUAUCUGGAGGAAUACCGGUGGCGAAGGCGGCUAGCUGGCCCAACACUGACACUUCAACCCGAAAGCGUGGGGAUCAA